GAUGAACGCUGGCGGCGUGCCUAAUACAUGCAAGUCGAGCGAACGGACGAGAAGCUUGCUUCUCUGAUGUUAGCGGCGGACGGGUGGGUAACACGUGGAUAACCUACCUAUAAGACUGGGAUAACUUCGGGAAACCGGAGCUAAUACCGGAUAAUAUUUUGAACCGCAUGGUUCAAAAGUGAAAGACGGUCUUGCUGUCACUUAUAGAUGGAUCCGCGCUGCAUUAGCUAGUUGGUAAGGUAACGGCUUACCAAGGCAACGAUGCAUAGCCGACCUGAGAGGGUGAUCGGCCGCACUGGAACUGAGACACGGUCCAGACUCCUACGGGAGGCAGCAGUAGGGAAUCUUCCGCAAUGGGCGAAAGCCUGACGGAGCAACGCCGCGUGAGUGAUGAAGGUCUUCGGAUCGUAAAACUCUGUUAUUAGGGAAGAACAUAUGUGUAAGUAACUGUGCACAUCUUGACGGUACCUAAUCAGAAAGCCACGGCUAACUACGUG
rnacentral:rRNA from 1 species